rnacentral:rRNA from 1 species
GAACAACAGGGAUUGCCUUAGUAACGGCGAGUGAAGCGGCAACAGCUCAAAUUUGAAAGCUGGCCCUUUUAGGGUCCGCGUUGUAAUUUGUAGAGGAUGAUUCGGCGAGGGCUCCCGCCUAAGUCCCCUGGAACGGGGCGUCAUAGAGGGUGAGAAUCCCGUCUGCGGUGGGCUGCCUUAGCCUUGUGAAUCUCCUUCGACGAGUCGAGUUGUUUGGGAAUGCAGCUCUAAAUGGGAGGUAAAUUUCUUCUAAAGCUAAAUACCGGCCAGAGACCGAUAGCGCACAAGUAGAGUGAUCGAAAGAUGAAAAGCACUUUGGAAAGAGAGUUAAAAAGUACGUGAAAUUGUUGAAAGGGAAGCGCUUGCAACCAGACUUGUCCGCAGUUGCUCAGCCGGUCUCCUGACCGGCGUACUCUUCUGCGGCCAGGCCAGCAUCAGUUCGGGCGGUCGGAUAAAGACCUCGGGAAUGUAGCUCCUCUCGGGGAGUGUUAUAGCCCGGGGUGGAAUGCGGCCAGCCUGGACUGAGGAUCUCGCUUCGGCAAGGAUGCUGGCGUAAUGGUUGUAAGCGGCCCGUCUUGAAACACGGACCAAGGAGUCUAACAUCUAUGCGAGUGUUUGGGUGUCAAACCCAUACGCGUAAUGAAAGUGAACGGAGGUGGGAACCCGCAAGGGCGCACCAUCGGCCGAUCCUGAUGUCUUCGGAUGGAUUUGAGCAAGAGCAUAGCUGUUGGGACCCGAAAGAUGGUGAACUAUGCCUGAAUAGGGUGAAGCCAGAGGAAACUCUGGUGGAGGCUCGCAGCGGUUCUGACGUGCAAAUCGAUCGUCAAAUUUGGGUAUAGGGGCGAAAGACUAAUCGAACCAUUAAUGAGUAGUUAAUGCGAAAACUUACAACCUUUUUGCUUUCCGCUACUAGGUGGUUAAGAGGUAACUAAAAGUGUUUACCUAGUCCUUCUAUCAAGGGCGACACUGUCAAAUUGCGGGGACCCCCUUAAGUCUAGACUACCGCGGCCCUACUGAAAGGUAGGGUGCAGCACCAGGGCAGGCCAGUCAACCUGUAUCCUCGGGGAUGGUAAUAACGUCUUAGAAUUGGGCAAUCCGCAGCCAAGCUCCUAUUAGUCCUUAAAUGGAUAUGGAGAAGGUUCACAGACUAAAUGGCAGUGGGUUCGGCUGUAACAGGCCGGGUCUAAGAUAUAGUCGGAUCCCUACGGAAACGUAGGCGGUGGAACAAAGCUCGCAGGCUGAUGGGUGCUCUAAGCACGCCUGAGGGCCCGAAUUCCACCGGGGAGCUGUUAUAAACUUGCCUAGCAAGUUAUUGUGCAUGCUUCUGACGCAGAGACUGUGGGUUGGUGAGAGACACACUCUGGGUCGGGCGAUACACAAGCAGACUCUCG